CAACUUUUGACCGGUGG
rnacentral:rRNA from 1 species